AUUGAACGCUGGCGGCAUGCCUUACACAUGCAAGUCGAACGGUAACGGGUCCUUCGGGAUGCCGACGAGUGGCGAACGGGUGAGUAAUAUAUCGGAACGUGCCCAGUAGUGGGGGAUAACUGCUCGAAAGAGCAGCUAAUACCGCAUACGACCUGAGGGUGAAAGGGGGGGAUCGCAAGACCUCUCGCUAUUGGAGCGGCCGAUAUCAGAUUAGCUAGUUGGUGGGGUAAAGGCCUACCAAGGCAACGAUCUGUAGUUGGUCUGAGAGGACGACCAGCCACACUGGGACUGAGACACGGCCCAGACUCCUACGGGAGGCAGCAGUGGGGAAUUUUGGACAAUGGGCGCAAGCCUGAUCCAGCAAUGCCGCGUGCAGGAAGAAGGCCUUCGGGUUGUAAACUGCUUUUGUCAGGGAAGAAAUCUUCUGGGCUAAUACCCCGGGAGGAUGACGGUACCUGAAGAAUAAGCACCGGCUAACUACGUGCCAGCAGCCGCGGUAAUACGUAGGGUGCGAGCGUUAAUCGGAAUUACUGGGCGUAAAGCGUGCGCAGGCGGCUUUGCAAGACAGAUGUGAAAUCCCCGGGCUCAACCUGGGAACUGCAUUUGUGACUGCAAGGCUAGAGUACGGCAGAGGGGGAUGGAAUUCCGCGUGUAGCAGUGAAAUGCGUAGAUAUGCGGAGGAACACCAAUGGCGAAGGCAAUCCCCUGGGCCUGUACUGACGCUCAUGCACGAAAGCGUGGGGAGCAAACAGGAUUAGAUAUCCUGGUAGUCCACGCCCUAAACGAUGUCAACUGGUUGUUGGACGGCUUGCUGUUCAGUAACGAAGCUAACGCGUGAAGUUGACCGCCUGGGGAGUACGGCCGCAAGGUUGAAACUCAAAGGAGUUGACGGGGACCCGCACAAGCGGUGGAUGAUGUGGUUUAAUUCGAUGCAACGCGAAAAACCUUACCUACCCUUGACAUGUCAAGAAUUCUGCAGAGAUGUGGAAGUGCUCGAAAGAGAACUUGAACACAGGUGCUGCAUGGCCGUCGUCAGCUCGUGUCGUGAGAUGUUGGGUUAAGUCCCGCAACGAGCGCAACCCUUGUCAUUAGUUGCUACGCAAGAGCACUCUAAUGAGACUGCCGGUGACAAACCGGAGGAAGGUGGGGAUGACGUCAGGUCCUCAUGGCCCUUAUGGGUAGGGCUACACACGUCAUACAAUGGCCGGUACAGAGGGCUGCCAACCCGCGAGGGGGAGCCAAUCCCAGAAAACCGGUCGUAGUCCGGAUCGUAGUCUGCAACUCGACUGCGUGAAGUCGGAAUCGCUAGUAAUCGCGGAUCAGCUUGCCGCGGUGAAUACGUUCCCGGGUCU
rnacentral:rRNA from 1 species